rnacentral:tRNA from 1 species
GCAGGGGUACUCAAGUGGACGAAGAGGCAGGCCUCAGGAGCCUGUGGCUUAGUGCCUUCCUGGGUUCGAAUCCCAGCCCCUGCA